rnacentral:rRNA from 1 species
AUUGAACGCUGGCGGAAUGCUUUACGCAUGCAAGUCGAACGGCAGCACGGACUUCGGUCUGGUGGCGAGUGGCGAACGGGUGAGUAAUGUAUCGGAACGUGCCCAGUCGUGGGGGAUAACGUAGUGAAAAUUACGCUAAUACCGCAUACGAUCUAUGGAUGAAAGCGGGGGAUCGCAAGACCUCGCGCGAUUGGAGCGGCCGAUAUCAGAUUAGGUAGUUGGUGGGGUAAAGGCCCACCAAGCCAACGAUCUGUAGCUGGUCUGAGAGGACGACCAGCCACACUGGAGCUGAGACACGGUCCAGACUCCUACGGGAGGCAGCAGUGGGGAAUUUUGGACAAUGGGCGAAAGCCUGAUCCAGCCAUUCCGCGUGCAGGAUGAAGGCCCUCGGGUUGUAAACUGCUUUUGUACAGAACGAAAAGGUUUCUACUAAUACUAGGAGCUCAUGACGGUACUGUAAGAAUAAGCACCGGCUAACUACGUGCCAGCAGCCGCGGUAA